rnacentral:tRNA from 1 species
GCGGAUGUGGCGAAACUGGCAGACGCGCUAGACUUAGGAUCUAGUGCCUUAGGCGUGGGGGUUCAAGUCCUCUCAUCCGCACCA